UAAACGGUGUCUUUAGAUACCACCUUUUGUCUUUAAAAAAUUAUUU
rfam:Picea glauca, whole genome shotgun sequence.